rnacentral:rRNA from 1 species
ACGAACCGUGUCCCGCGCUUCUCUAACUCGGCAGAGGGGGAGCUUUCGUGCUCUUCUCCUUGCCCUUCGAAGGC